rnacentral:rRNA from 1 species
GAGUUUGAUCGUGGCUCAGAUUGAACGCUGGCGGCAGGCCUAACACAUGCAAGUCGAGCGGUAGAGAGAAGCUUGCUUCUCUUGAGAGCGGCGGACGGGUGAGUAAUGCCUAGGAAUCUGCCUGGUAGUGGGGGAUAACGCUCGGAAACGGACGCUAAUACCGCAUACGUCCUACGGGAGAAAGCAGGGGACCUUCGGGCCUUGCGCUAUCAGAUGAGCCUAGGUCGGAUUAGCUAGUUGGUGAGGUAAUGGCUCACCAAGGCGACGAUCCGUAACUGGUCUGAGAGGAUGAUCAGUCACACUGGAACUGAGACACGGUCCAGACUCUACGGGAGGCAGCAGUGGGGAAUAUUGGACAAUGGGCGAAAGCCUGAUCCAGCCAUGCCGCGUGUGUGAAGAAGGUCUUCGGAUUGUAAAGCACUUUAAGUUGGAGGAAGGCAGUAAAUUAAUAC